CGGUAACGAGCAAAUUUUUCACUCUUGUGAAAUCAAGAUGGCUGCUUCUCGGAUGGCAAAAUUGGCUGAAAGCGCACUGUCCAAAAGUGUAGCUGUGUCCACAAGAAUGGGAAUGAAAGGAAUAGGUAUAUAUGUGUUUCUACCCUGUAGCUGUAACGUUGACCUUACACUUAUCUUAUGCUAAUUAAUGAGACAAAACAAGUUUCAUGGAAAAAAUGCCCCAAAUCACUGGACCAAAUAUUAUUAUAUUAUAAUAGUAAAUGUUGCAGUAUGUUGCCCUGUUUUCUGACAAUACCGGUAUUUGGACAACAUAUUUUAACGCUAAUUUUCACUAUGAAGAGUUGCAAAAAAUUAAAGACAAUGAAUCCUGUUCUGUGUUUUUGACCUUUUUGCUGCUUUAAAUUGCAAGCCCAAAGACUUUGAUUUAUAAAUAUGAUAUAAUUAUUAAUGAAAUUCAGCAACUACCAAAAACACAACAUGCAGCGCCAGGGAAUAUGUCACUGGUUACCCCAAUUACAGCGACCCCUUAAUUACAGGGCCAUAGCAAUCAAAAAGCGCUUCCUACAGCACUGAAUUCCAUAAUUAUGUACAAGUCAAAUCCAACCGCGAUCAGCCCCCCCCCCCCGGGCAACCCCAGGGCAUUUGACUUAACAUUACCUCUGUAUAGGCGGGCAUUUGACCACUUAAGAACUUGCUCAGCGGUUUUCCCUGAAAAUAUGUGUACAUUCUAGCGCUUCACAAGUUUUCUAUUUUGCGUCUUUUCGAUAGUUUAAACAAAAAGAAGAACUGUCUGGCCUAUUUUUCGUUCUUUUUAAUCUUGAAAUACUUGCUAAAUUUAAUUUUAGCCAAAAUUCCAGAACCAGGACUACCUCUAUAGCAGGGCAUUUGACUGUGGUUUCUGCCUGUUCGGGUGGGCAUUUGACCAAUUAUUUUUUCAAAAGUCAAAUUCCCCGGGGGGGGGCCUGAUCGCAGUUGGAUUUGACUCGUACAUUACAUUAUCAUUAAUGAACAGUCUAGACAGUAUAACAAACUUGUAUAUGACAUCAGACAACUAACAGCAUCCAGGAACCUGGCCUUUCUACAUUUAACAUAUACAAAUUUCCAUGUACGAGGAUCAUCAAUACUGCAUGUGUUGCAUAGCUUGUUCUCAUAAUAUCUCUUUAGUCCCAAUUUAAAAGCAUGCAGUCCUAUAUCUCUAUGAUGAAGGUCACAACUUAAAGUAUAAUAAUAAUAAUAUACUUCGAGUAUAGGUCAGUCAAAAAUGUUUUCUUUAAUUAAUUGAAAUGGCAUAGUUUAUGGCAAACCUAGACUGCUACGCUUGUCAUUUGACAAAAUCUUCUGUGCGCAAUUUUGCCAUCUUAUCUGGGAAUAUAUUCAAUAUUUCCCUCUAAUCAAUUUCCGUUUAAUAAUCCCCUCUAAUAUUCACCUGCAAUGUCUUUGCAGCACAAAAAAUGAGAAAAAACAACAUAACAAAGGCAAUAUGGCAUUAAAAAUUAUUUCUAUUCUGACUCAUUAACGCGACCUCGCAAUGUGAAAAAUAAGUAUGUUAUUUUGAGGCACCUCGAGAAUGUGUGUUUAUUCACCUCUGCGCUGCGCGCCUCGCUGAAUAAAUCACAUAUCCCCUUGUUGCCUCAAAAUAACCUAAUAAAAGUAUACAUAGGCGCAUGAUGUUAUCAGACUAAAAACUUCCACACACAGUUAGCAAACUUAGAAGUCUAGAACAGUUUUUAAACACCAAUAUUUAAUUAACUUUAUCUUUGUGUUUGAUAAACUUUUGGAUUGUGAUAAUUUUCUUGAUUUUGGAAUUGGUAUACCCUUAUUCUGCUAGGAGCAAGACAAUGGGCAUUGGAUAUAUAAUAAGUGCUUUUAUUUGUGAAUUGUGUGGAUGACAUUAAUGCUUAUGUCAUUUUAUUUCCAUUACAUAAGCAAGCAUGAAUUGCAAUAUUAAUCAUAAGUAAGGCCAUUAUUUUGCAUUUGAAUACAAAAAUAAAUUGUGGGCCUGAAAAUGAACUACUUGUUUCCGAUAUUAGCACUCCAUGAGUUAAAGUGACUUAUGUGGUAACAUAAAAGAUUAAAUGACCUCGGUGCUUGAAAUAACAUUCCAAAAGUUCACAAUUAUGGUGAUUAGCAGGCAUGCCUUUCCCUGCCUUUUCUGAUUGAAAACCCUACUUUUCUGCAGAUCGUAAAUACUUUCUUGCCGACCGGUGAUUGGCUGUAUUCCAAGCCCUGCAACCUUCAUUGUUAUGAUAUGAUAAUUUGAUAGGUUAUAGGUGACAUUACAAAAAGUAUGUUCUAUGUAUGUAUGUAUUAAUUAUGUAUUAAGUAUGUAUUAAUUUAACAAUGCAGUUUAGCACUACAGGCUCCUUAUGCUUUGUAAUAUAUAUAUAUAUAUAUAUAUAUAUAUAUAUAUAUAUAUAUAUAUAUAUAUAUAUAUAUAUAUAUAUAUAUAUAUAUAUAUAUAUAUAAAAUUAUGUAGGCAGCACAUUUUAAUUGUAUAGAAAAUAUUAACCUCUCUUCAUGUCAGCUAAAAGUUCAGUCAAAUCAAUAUUCUACAUAUUUAGCAACUAAUGGAGACCUGUAAAUUUUUUUGUAUUUUUAAGAACUUGGAAAAAGAUCUCGACCUCACCUCUCCACAAUAUGGAGUACAGCUCGCAUUGAAUUGGCCCCACCUAUGCCAUCAGAGUUUAAAGCAAUUCAAAAGAGUUUUAUUAAUCUAAAGAACAGCCUGGUGAAAGGCAAGUUUCUCAACCUGUCAAUGAAGGAUGCUGCAGCAAACACACUUGUGGGUGUUGAAAUAUUCUGCUGGUUUAUUGUUGGAGAAAUGAUUGGAAGAAAGAGUAUUGUUGGUUACAACGUUUGAUAUUCAACUGACUUUGCAAGUGUAUUAACAUGUUAAAAUAUAAGAUAAUAUCUGUUAAGACAUUGUUAAGACAUUGAUAAUAACUCAUUACAAGUUUUACUUUUAUUGUGAUGUAAAAGUGUGAAUUAUAGAAAUGUCUAAUUAGGCAUACUGUUAAAUAUCUGUUGUUCAUUAUUUAUAUAUCCCCCCUCCCACCCCCAUUGUCCAAAUAUACUCCAAGUAUUGCCAUGUUAUUUUUUAUAUAUAAUUUUUAUAAACAUUUUAACUCAUUCAGUGGCAGCACUCUCCCCUUGGCGAGUAAAAUCGUCUGGCGUCAGACAGAGUAAAUUAAUACAGUAGGGUGCAUCAGGGUGCUUUGCCACUUAAAGGGUUAAGGUUGGGGGAAAACGGAGAAAACCAUCUCUUUCUUGGUUUAACAUUUAGCUGAUGAAAUGUCCAUUCUUUUGAUUUAUAGAGUCACUUGACGUGGUGACACCAAUUAUUACGGCUUGUUCAAUUAUGCCAUUUGGAAGUAAAAUGUGGAAAUGUUAAAUCAAUUUACAAUCUUGGAAGUACAUAAUUGAUUUUCGUUCUCUUUUACACAACCCUCAUCAGUUUUUCUGUCACAAAACACCAAAUUCAUGAUAUUUUCAUGUUUUUGCUUGGCUUCAGCUUAAUUAAUGGAAUCUUGAUGUGAAGGACAAUAAAGUUGGGCAUGAAAAUGUGCAUGGCAUUCCAUUUAAAAUUCUGUUGUGAUUGAAAGUAGUUUAAAAUACUUAGUUUUGGACAAUUUCCAUCAGUUUAUAAUUAAUUGAAAAUUAAUUUUAGACAGGUAGAUAUUAAGUUUUUCUCCUGUACAACAAUUUAUAACUUGUGUAAGCCAACGUCGUAGUACGUAAUACCCUGGUAAUACGUCGUAGUAAUGCGUUGUCUUGAUCACACAAAUUCGGCUGGAGGUUUUUGAAAAAUACAAAAUUAAAAGUACUGUAUUACUAUUUUCUCUACUUAUCCCCCUAACCCUAGGUUCUAUUGUAACCCCCUCCUAAUAUGGCUUCGCUCGGGAAGCGCUGAUAAAGAAUAGCCCCCAUCUUGUUGUAUUGAAUACCGUAAUCUCAGUAUGCCCGUUCGCAGGUUUUAGAUUCCGAACUCAUAGCGAAAUAAAAUGUGUUAAAGGUGAUCUACAGUCCGAUCUGCGCAUGUGCACAAAUGAGCCCACUUUUUAUUAUGAAAACAGUUUAACUAUGUUUUGAGUUCUUGAAAAGCCUGAUUGUUGUUUCUUGAUCAUUUAUUAUACUCUAGAAGCUUGAAAAUAUAAAUAGUUGUCGAAUAAAGCUCAAUAUUUUGG